rnacentral:tRNA from 1 species
CUGUAAUAGUUUAAAAAAAACAAAGGUUUUGUAAACCUUAAUUGAAUUCCUUACAGUAUCAGA